UAAAAGUAAGUUCUUUAAAUUCGAGAUUUUAUAAAUGCCGGAUGAGAUGGAAUAAGUUGAAUUCAACUCCCAGACGGAUCACGGAUAAUGUCUCAAGAAAAGCUAUAAUUCAAGGGGCGUGUACAAAUAUGAAGAAGAUAAAUGAACAGGAAGCAAAAAAUGGGCGUGCGCAAAGGACGAUAUGCCAGGGCACAUGCUUGACAAACCUUAUUUCUACGUAACAGUUUACAAGUUACUGAUAAUUAUGAGAAAGAAACUGGCCGACUCAAAUGCUCCGA